AACUAUAACGGUCCUAAGGUAGCGAAAUUCCUUGUCAGGUAAGUUCUGACCCGCACGAAAGGCGUAACGAUUUGGGCGCUGUCUCAGCUGUAGACUCGGUGAAGUCUUAGUACCUGUGAAGAUGCAGGUUACCCGCGACUAGACGGAAAGACCCCAUGGAGCUUCACUGCAGGUUGAUAUUGGGAUUUGAUGCAGCAUGUACAGGAUAGGUAGGAGGCAAAGAGAUGGAUACGCCAGUAUUCAAGGAGCCGCUGUUGGGAUACUACCCCUGUUGUAUUGGAUUUCUAACCGGACGACGUAGAGCCGUUGACGGGACAGUGUCAGUCGGGCAGUUUGACUGGGGCGGUCGCCUCCCAAAGAGUAACGGAGGCGCCCAAAGAUACCCUCAGCUUGGAUGGAAACCAAGCGCAGAGUGCAAAGGCAAAAGGGUGUUUGACUGCGAGACCCACAAGUCGAGCAGGGACGAAAGUCGGGCUUAGUGAUCCGGCGGUGCUGAAUGGAAAGGCCGUCGCUCAACGGAUAAAAGCUACCCUGGGGAUAACAGGCUGAUCUCCCCCAAGAGUCCACAUCGACGGGGAGGUUUGGCACCUCGAUGUCGGCUCAUCGCAUCCUGGGGCUGUAGUAGGUCCCAAGGGUUGGGCUGUUCGCCCAUUAAAGCGGUACGCGAGCUGGGUUCAGAACGUCGUGAGACAGUUCGGUCCCUAUCUGUCGUGGGCGCAGGAAAUUUGAGAAGAGCUGUCCUCAGUACGAGAGGACCGGGAUGGACGCAUCAAUGGUGGACCAGUUGUCACGCCAGUGGCAUAGCUGGGUAGCUAAAUGCGGAAGGGAUAAACGCUGAAGGCAUCUAAGUGUGAAACCCACUUCAAGAUGAGAUUUCCCAUUGCGCAAGCAAGUAAGACCCCUUAAAGACGAUAAGGUAGAUAGGUCAGGAGUGUAAGCAUGGUGACAUGUUAAGCGGACUGAUACUAAUAGGUCGAGGGCUUGACCGA
rnacentral:rRNA from 2 species